rnacentral:rRNA from 1 species
AUUGAACGCUGGCGGCAGGCCUAACACAUGCAAGUCGAGCGGAUGACGGGAGCUUGCUCCUUGAUUCAGAGGCGGACGGGUGAGUAAUGCCUAGGAAUCUGUCUGGUAGUGGGGGACAACGUUGCGAAAGGAACGCUAAUACCGCAUACGUCCUACGGGAGAAAGCAGCGGACCGUCGGGCCUAGCGCUAGCAGAUGAGCCUAGGUAGGAUUAGCUAGUUGGUGGGGUAAGGGCUCAGCAAGGCGACGAUCCGUAACUGGUGUGAGAGGAGGGGAAGGCACACUGGAACUGAGACACGGUCCAGACUCAUACGGGAGGCAGCAGUGGGGAAUAUUGGACAAUGGGCGAAAGCCUGAUCCAGCCAUGCCGCGUGUGUGAAAAAGGUCUUCGGAUUGUAAAGCACUUUAUGUUGGGAGGAAGGGCAGUAAGUUAAUACCUUGCUGUUUUGACGUUACCGACAGAAUAAGCACCGGCUAACUCUGUGCCAGCAGCCGCGGUAACAC